AACGAACGCUGGCGGCAUGCCUAACACAUGCAAGUCGAACGAGACCUUCGGGUCUAGUGGCGCCCGGGUUCGUAACGCGUGGGAACCUGCCCUUAGGUUCGGCAUAACUCCCCGACAGGGGUGCUAAUACCGGAUCAUGUCUUCGGCCCAAAGAUUUAUCGCCUUUGGAUGGGCCCGCGUUGGAUUAGCUAGUUGUUAGGGUAAAAGCCUACCAAGGCGACGAUCCAUAGCUGGUCUGAGAGGAUGAUCAGCCACACUGGGACUGAGACACGGCCCAGACUCCUACGGGAGGCAGGAGUGGGGAAUAUUGGAAAAUGGGCGAAAGCCUGAUCCAGCAAUGACGGGUGAGUGAUGAAGGCAUUAGGGUUGUAAAGCUCUUUUAACCGGGAUGAUAAUGACAGUACCGGGAGAAUAAGCUCCGGCUAACUCCGUG
rnacentral:rRNA from 1 species